CUGGAAGCAAAUUGGGCAGAUGCAGUAUUUUAAUUAGAAUUAUUUGUAAGUUUUUCUUGACUGUUUUGUGUAUUGUUUCUCCAGCCUCUGUUCUUCUCACUCUAUUUCAAAUCCAGAAUUUGAAGUCAUUCUGACAAUUCUGAAAGUACUUGGAAUUUCUGUAGGGAGGCAUCAGCACUGGGCCCGGGGCACCGUAACACCUGGACAGAGCUCUGUUCUGAGGACUGGGAUUUUGUUCUCUCUGCUCAAAGCUGUGCUUUGACCAACAGGACUGUGUAAUGCUGACUGGAAUUCAAUUCAGCCAUUGUUUCUGGUCCCAAGUCUUCCCAGUGGAAACUCCCGGCUGGGCCAGGCAGAGCUGCUGCUGUUCUUAGCUGGCGUGGGGAAAGAGGAGAAAGGGGUUUGCGUUGCUGUGGGUUGGCUUCCAAAGUCUGAAGAGGAAUUGAAAUUGUUUGCUUUUCUGUAGUGAAGAAAGCAAGUUAUUUUUGAGGCUCGUAGAAUUGGCUCUAAACUGGCUUCAAUUUCAUAUAUCACUUUCAUGGUCUUCAGUAAGAAAUGAGGUGUCAUUGAAUUGGGUGGGGUGUUGUCAAGACAACGUGGUGUUUACAUCCCAUUUUCUUUCUAACAUUCAACCUUAUGUUUUACUUUCUAGAUUCUGUUUGACCAAACCCAGAGAUCAAUUAAGGCCCAGCUUCAGAACUUUGUCAAAGAGUAAGUCUUCCAUAGUUAAGAGGGUGGGGUGAAUGGUGGGUGGAGGAAAAACCAGCCAGCUGCUGUGGGGGCGGGGCUUGGGUAGUGGUUGGGGGCUGGGGUGUGGCCGUGGAUGUGGCUGAAGAUGCUAAAAGAAAAUUAUGGGUCUGAAGUUUCUGAAAAUACUGGCAUGUUUGCUUUGUCGAGUGUGUUUCAUUUCUUCUGAGUCUGUGAGAGAAUCAGAGUCAACUUGAGCAUAUGAGAGUCCAGACAGUUUUCUCACUGAAGAUACAAAUGUAAUAAUUUAAAAGCCCCAAGGGUGGGGGUUGAAAUACUUACUGUUGUCUAGUCUCGAUAUGGUAUUGUCUUUGAAGAGAAGAUAAUGUAAUAGAUAAGAAUGAGCCACAGAAAUUGUUGUAACCUGUGACGAUUUGGGAGAGUUGUAUCCUGUUUACAUACAAAAUAAAAUUGAACUAGAAGUAAAAAAUUUAAGUUCGAACUUUCCAAAUUAAGGAAAACUUCUUUUCCACAUUAAGAAUCUAGUUUUUCUACAGCUUCUAGCUGAGAGUUCAUGCAAGUAUCAGGUUAAUUCGGGCACAGUAUUAAAGAUAAGUAAGGGACAUUAUAAUACAGUAGUAGGGUCAAAUAGCAUUAUCUGUUGCUGUGAGUAGUUAAUUUUGGCUUUGGGGUUGUGCAGACAGCACCUCGGUGGACACCCCCUGCCUCCCAGCCUUCCGUGUUAAGCAAGGGUCUUCUGCCUGCAGUUCCACAGCCCCAGCCCAUGGGUUAGGCUUUAUGCUACAAAGAUGUCUCAGAGCAGCGCUUAUGAGUUGCUUCAUAAUGCUUUACUCUUAGAUGCACAUAUAAACACUUUGGAGUGUUUACAAAAGUCAUAGAGUUUUUAGAUGUAUCUAUUAUAAUUAAAAGCUGUUUGUCUUCAGCUUUCUUUGUCAGCUUCCUAUUAGAAGUAGUGGCAGAGAUGUGUUACAUGGCUGAGGACACAGAGAGCCAGGGCUUCAUCUUUUCAGACUGUUACAAGGCCUGUCUGCUGCCUUCACUGAGACCAGCUCUGUACAUACGUGUGUACAUGUGUGCUUGAAGACUUUAUUUUUGUCUUUUAUGUGUUAACUAAUUUCUUCUAACAAGAGAUUGUUUCUCUUGCUUCUUUAACAAGAGAUUGUUUCUCUUGCUUCCUUUUUUUAAGACGUGCUUUGAGACAGAGAGAGUCCUGCUCUGUCGCCCAGGCUGGCCUGGAGUUAGCAGCCUUCUUUCCUAGCCUCCUAGAGGUGUUAGAUAGGUGUGUUGCCCGAGGUGUGCUUCUGAGUAUUGUUUCUUAAAAGCAAAAGUGUGUUUUAAAAUACCUCUCAGAUCCUUAGGAUUUAUCCGGAAGCUGAAUGAAUUUUAAUUUUUGGGAAAGGCCAUUCAAAUCUGUAUUUCUCUGUAGGAAGUCUUACAUACACUGGUAUU
rnacentral:lncRNA from 1 species